GAUGAACGCUAGCGAUAGGCUUAACACAUGCAAGUCGAGGGGCAGCAUGGUCUUAGCUUGCUAAGACUGAUGGCGACCGGCGCACGGGUGCGUAACGCGUAUGCAACUUGCCUCACAGAGGGGGAUAACCCGUCGAAAGACGGACUAAUACCGCGUACACUCCAUCUUGGGCAUCCAAGGUAGAGGAAAUGAAAUUCGCUGUGAGAUAGGCAUGCGUCCCAUUAGCUAGUUGGUGAGGUAACGGCUCACCAAGGCGACGAUGGGUAGGGGAACUGAGAGGUUGAACCCCCACACUGGUACUGAGACACGGACCAGACUCCUACGGGAGGCAGCAGUGAGGAAUAUUGGUCAAUGGGCGAGAGCCUGAACCAGCCAAGUCGCGUGAAGGAUGACUGUCUUAUGGAUUGUAAACUUCUUUUAUACGGGAAUAACAAGAGUCACGGGUGACUCCCUGCAUGUACCGUAUGAAUAAGCAUCGGCUAACUCCGUG
rnacentral:rRNA from 1 species